UGUUGGUGUUCAAAUGUACUCUACUUAGACAGAUAGAUAGGUAGGUAGGUAGAUAGAUAGAUAGAUAGAUAGAUAGGUAGGUAGGUAGGUAGGUAGGUAGGUACAUAGGUAGAUAGAUAGAUAGAUAGAUAGAUAGAUAGAUAGAUAGAUAGAUAGUUUGCUUUGCCGCUCUGCUCUGGUUGAACUAUUGUUCACUUGCAAUUUGCCACUUUGCUCUAGAUAGAGAUGGAGAGUGAGUGUUACAGUACAUCACAUGGUACAUACUGAAGCGAUACAUAAUUUGGUUGAUUUGGUUAGUGCUCAUGGUUGUUGGUGUCUGAGUGUAGUUCGAUGGCUGCCUACCUAGUUUGUUUGUCUUGUCACUCUGCUUCCUCUGGAUGAAUUGAAUUAAUGUCAACUUGCAGCUUGCACAUACAUCAUUUUAUGAACCUUGUACCUCUGCGUAUGUACCAAGUUAUCAACCCAAACCCUUUGCCUCUGCAACAUGCACAUCCACAAUCACAAAAGACCACACAUCCACAACAUACUCUACUUUACCCAGGAUACCUGCUGCAAACAAAUCACAUGCCUGCAGCACCAAACCAUACUCAGUCAGGAUGGAGAUAGAUAUCCGACAAUACCAACAAGCAUGUCAUGCAUUGUUCAAGCUUGAUUAUCCACCCAAGUCUAGCUCGCAGAUCAUCCAAGAUUAUGCUAGGUUGGUUGGUUCAACAACACCGAGGAGAAAAAUAGAAAUAGGAAGAAUAGGGGAAGAAUGAGGGAAUAGGUUCUAUUUUUGUUCCGUCUUUUUUCUCUUCCCGAUCUAAACAUGUUGAAGGCUCUGUUUUGUGCAAGUUGCUCUCAUGAGGAGAAGUUGCUGCUACAUGAUUCCCUCCUUCCCUCCUCCAACCCCCUGACAUGGUGAGCUCCACCCCUCCUUCUACUCCAUGCAGAUCUAAUAUGAAGUGGGCAUCAAUUGCAAUUGUUAUGGCCACAACAUAGCAGCAUUGUAUUGGUUCAGUUUUUAUGCAUAAUUCGAUUAUGACUGUGUUGUUUGAUGUUGCUUGCCUCAUCUAUUUUUCAUGUCUUGUGUGAAAUUUGUACCAUACUAGAAGAUGCCACCAUCAAGUUAAUAAUAACACUAAUGAUCAUUUGAUUCUAGUCUAGAGAUACAAAUAACAUUAGUUAGGUCCAUGGAUGGAUGGAUGGAUGGAUGAACACACACAGCUAGCAGCCUAGCAGUGUUAGCAAAGGAUGUUAGUACAAUGUUUAUGGCAUUCAUUUAUUGAAGCAAAUAGUAACUAACUGUCAUGGGAUUUUUAUUGUGGAGCUCCAUGAACUUUUUAGGUCGAUUGGUUGUCCAAGUUCCUGAAGAACAAAUCAUACAGCCAUUAUCUUGUUGAUUGAUGCGGUUUAUCACCUUUUUGCUGCUGAUGUUUAGUUCCUUGCUUGAUUCUGGAUAUUGUUAAGUUGAAAUAAAAUUGUAUGAGAAAAUGAUCACUAAACUAAGGAGUCUUAACCUGAUAAUAACUUCUUUUACGUUAAUAGACUACAAUGUUGUCUCAGAGCUUAUUGUCCAAAAUAACACCUCUACUUUUAGUGUCCUUCAGGAAUGCAUAUCCUCCAGGACAACUCAAGUGGGUAUAUAGCUCGCCGCAAAUCGCUCGUCCCUCCUUCUUUCCUGAACAUGAAUGUGAGGUGUUGCGCAUGCAAGAUCAUGGCCAUGGAGCAUGUGUGUCCGCCGCCAACAUGCAGAUUUCCUACCGUCGGGUAUCUUGGUCUUGAUAUAACUCUGCAGUUUACUUGAAAAUGCAGUUCCUUCCAAAAGUAUAUGCAAAGUGCGUGCGUGCGUGCAUGCGUGCGUGCGUGUAUCUAGCGAGCAAAUCUGUAGUAAUUAAUGAGUAUACUAUCUGCUUUCUUGAAGUGGCUAUUUUCUGUUUAGUUCUCUUUUGACAUAUAGUUUGUUCUCUUUGAAUGUGCAGAUUGUACGCUGUGCUGAUUAUCUUUUUUCGUUGUUGGGGUCAUUUGAACCUGCAGGUCAUGUGUUAUGUGAUCUGAGCCAUAUGGCAUAUUGUAAUCUUUUUAUUGCUGGUUUUUAUGUACGAUGUCACGAAGAUGUACGUUUGAAAUGUUGCUUUGACAGCAAAAUUGUAUUCCUGUGUACAUGCUACUUUGACAGCAAAAUUAUAAAAAUUUCUCAACAGUAUAUAUGGGUUAAAUAUCUGUUUUUCAAUUUUCUAUGCUUAAAGUUGUACUGCGCCUGAAAAGGCU
rnacentral:lncRNA from 1 species